AGANCGUUAGCUCAGUUGGUAGAGCAGUUGGCUUUUAACCAAUUGGUCGUAGGUUCGAAUCCCACACGACCCA
rnacentral:tRNA from 1 species